AGCAGCCGCGGUAAUUCCAGCUCCAAUAGCGUAUAUUAAAGUUGCUGCAGUUAAAAAGCUCGUAGUUGAAUUUCGGGAUCAAUAUGUUGGUCGUGCCUCGGUACGUACUAGCUUAUUGGUUUCUCCCUUCUGACGAACCAUGAUGUCAUUUAUUUGGUGUUAUGGGAAAUCAGGACUGUUACUUUGAAAAAAUUAGAGUGUUUAAAGCAGGCUCACGCUUGAAUACAUUAGCAUGGAAUAAUGAAAUAGGACGUUUGAUUCUAUUUUGUUGGUUUCUAGGAUCGACGUAAUGAUUAAUAGGGAUAGUUGGGGGCAUUAGUAUUCAAUUGUCAGAGGUGAAAUUCUUGGAUUUAUUGAAGACUAACUACUGCGAAAGUAUUUGCCAAGGAUGUUUUCAUUAAUCAAGAACGAAAGUUAGGGGAUCGAAGACGAUCAGAUACCGUCGUAGUCUUAACCAUAAACUAUGCCGACUAGGGAUCGGAUGAUGUUAAUUUUUAANGACUCAUUCGGCGCCUUAAC
rnacentral:rRNA from 1 species